UAGCUGCAUUAUUUGACGUUAGCGACAGAAGAAGCACCGGCUAACUCCGUGCCAGCAGCCGCGGUAAUACGGAGGGUGCGAGCGUUAAUCGGAAUUACUGGGCGUAAAGCGCAUGCAGGUGGUUUGUUAAGUCAGAUGUGAAAGCCCGGGGCUCAACCUCGGAAUAGCAUUUGAAACUGGCAGACUAGAGUACUGUAGAGGGGGGUAGAAUUUCAGGUGUAGCGGUGAAAUGCGUAGAGAUCUGAAGGAAUACCGGUGGCGAAGGCGGCCCCCUGGACAGAUACUGACACUCAGAUGCGAA
rnacentral:rRNA from 1 species